rnacentral:rRNA from 1 species
AUUGAACGCUGGCGGCAGGCCUAACACAUGCAAGUCGAGCGGAUGAAGGGAGCUUGCUCCUGGAUUCAGCGGCGGACGGGUGAGUAAUGCCUAGGAAUCUGCCUGGUAGUGGGGGAUAACGUCCGGAAACGGGCGCUAAUACCGCAUACGUCCUGAGGGAGAAAGUGGGGGAUCUUCGGACCUCACGCUAUCAGAUGAGCCUAGGUCGGAUUAGCUAGUUGGUGGGGUAAAGGCCUACCAAGGCGACGAUCCGUAACUGGUCUGAGAGGAUGAUCAGUCAAACUGGAACUGAGAAACGGUCAAAACCCCUAGGAGAGGCAGAAGUGGGGAAUAUUGGAAAAUGGGCGAAAGCCUGCACCAGCCAGGCCGGGGGGGUGAAGAAGGUUUUCGGAUUGUAAAGCCCUUUAAGUUGGGAGGAAGGGAAGUAAGUUAAAACCUUGCUUUUUUGACGUUACCAAAAGAAUAAGCACCGGCUAACUUCGU